UGAUUAUUCAUCCAGAUGGUA
rnacentral:misc_RNA from 1 species